GACGAACGCUGGCGGCGUGCUUAACACAUGCAAGUCGAACGGAAAGGCCCUGCUUUUGUGGGGUGCUCGAGUGGCGAACGGGUGAGUAACACGUGAGUAACCUGCCCUUGUCUUUGGGAUAACUUCAGGAAACUGGGGCUAAUACCGGAUAGGAUCUCCUGCUGCAUGGGGGUGGUUGGAAAGUGUCGGCGGUUGGGGAUGGACUCGCGGCUUAUCAGCUUGUUGGUGGGGUAGUGGCUUACCAAGGCUUUGACGGGUAGCCGGCCUGAGAGGGUGACCGGCCACAUUGGGACUGAGAUACGGCCCAGACUCCUACGGGAGGCAGAAGUGGGGAAUAUUGCACAAUGGGCGGAAGCCUGAUGCAGCAACGCCGCGUGCGGGAUGACGGCCUUCGGGUUGUAAACCGCUUUCGCCUGUGACGAAGCGUGAGUGACGGUAAUGGGUAAAGAAGCAACGGCUAACUACGCG
rnacentral:rRNA from 1 species